ACGCUGGCGGCGUGCCUAAUACAUGCAAGUCGAGCGAAGUUUUUCUGGUGCUUGCACUAGAAAAACUUAGCGGCGAACGGGUGAGUAACACGUAAAGAACCUGCCUCAUAGACUGGGACAACUAUUGGAAACGAUAGCUAAUACCGGAUAACAGCAUUAACUGCAUGGUUGAUGUUUGAAAGUUGGUUUUGCUAACACUAUGAGAUGGCUUUGCGGUGCAUUAGCUAGUUGGUGGGGUAAAGGCCUACCAAGGCGACGAUGCAUAGCCGACCUGAGAGGGUGAUCGGCCACACUGGGACUGAGACACGGCCCAGACUCCUACGGGAGGCAGCAGUAGGGAAUCUUCCGCAAUGGGCGAAAGCCUGACGGAGCAACGCCGCGUGAGUGAAGAAGGAUUUCGGUUCGUAAAGCUCUGUUGUUAGGGAAGAAUGAUUGUGUAGUAACUAUACACAGUAGAGACGGUACCUAACCAGAAAGCCACGGCUAACUACGUGCCGGCAGCCGCGGUAAUACGUAGGUGGCAAGCGUUGUCCGGAAUUAUUGGGCGUAAAGCGCGCGCAGGUGGUUUAAUAAGUCUGAUGUGAAAGCCCACGGCUCAACCGUGGAGGGUCAUUGGAAACUGUUAAACUUGAGUGCAGGAGAGAAAAGUGGAAUUCCUAGUGUAGCGGUGAAAUGCGUAGAGAUUAGGAGGAACACCAGUGGCGAAGGCGGCUUUUUGGCCUGUAACUGACACUGAGGCGCGAAAGCGUGGGGAGCAAACAGGAUUAGAUACCCUGGUAGUCCACGCCGUAAACGAUGAGUGCUAAGUGUUGGUCUCAUAAGAGAUCAGUGCUGCAGCUAACGCAUUAAGCACUCCGCCUGGGGAGUACGACCGCAAGGUUGAAACUCAAAGGAAUUGACGGGGACCCGC
rnacentral:rRNA from 1 species